rnacentral:tRNA from 2 species
GGGCGUAGUUCAAUGGUAGAACACCAGCCUUCCAAGCUGAUGACGCGGGUUCGAUUCCCGUCGCCC